rnacentral:rRNA from 1 species
CUGGCUCAGGAUGAACGCUAGCGGCAGGCUUAACACAUGCAAGUCGAGGGGCAUCGGGAGUAGCAAUACUGCCGGCGACCGGCGCAAGGGUGCGUAACGCGUGAGCAACAUGCCCGUAUCAGGGGGAUAAUCCAUGGAAACGUGGUCUAAUACCCCACAGUAAUUAUGUAAGGCAUCUUAUAUAAUUUAAAGCUUUGGUGGAUACGGAUUGGCUCGCGUGACAUUAGCUGGAUGGUAAGGUAACGGCUUACCAUGGCUACGAUGUCUAGGGGUUCUGAGAGGAAGGUCCCCCACACUGGAACUGAGACACGGUCCAGACUCCUACGGGAGGCAGCAGUGAGGAAUAUUGGACAAUGGAUGGAAAUCUGAUCCAGCCAUGCCGCGUGCAAGGAAGACGGCCCUAUGGGUUGUAAACUGCUUUUGUAUGGGAGCAAUAAGGGCUACGUGUAGUCCGAUGAGAGUACCAUACGAAUAAGCACCGGCUAACUCCGUGCCAGCCGCAGC